rnacentral:rRNA from 1 species
GAUGAACGCUGGCGGCGUGCUUAACACAUGCAAGUCGAACGAGAAGUGAAGACGGAAACCUUCGGGCGGAAGGCUUUAUUUCUAGUGGCGGACGGGUGAGUAACGCGUGGGUAACCUGCCUCAUACAGGGGGAUAACAGUUGGAAACGACUGUUAAUACCGCAUAAGACCACAGCACCGCAUGGUGCGGGGGUAAAAACUCCGGUGGUAUGAGAUGGACCCGCGUUCGAUUAGCCAGUUGGCGGGGUAACGGCCCACCAAAGCGACGAUCGAUAGCCGAUCUGAGAGGAUGACCGGACACAUUGGGACUGAGACACGGCCCAAACUCCUACGGGAGGCAGCAGUGGGGAAUAUUGCACAAUGGGGGAAACCCUGAUGCAGCGACGCCGCGUGAGUGAAGAAGUAUUUCGGUAUGUAAAGCUCUAUAAGCAGGGAAGAAAAUGACGGUACCUGAGUAAGAAGCCCCGGCUAACUACGUG